GUUUUCUUUUCUUUUUUCUUUUUUGAUUCAUUUGGCUUUGAAAUUCGAACUCAGGACUUUACAAUUUUAAAAAUAAUUAAAGCGCUACCAAGAUAGAGCUCAUUAGUUCCUUCUUGUUUUCAGAAACUUGGAGAAACAGGUUCUUUGAGCUGUAUUUCUUGUCUAAAUUGAUGCCAGCUGGUUAUAUAUCUCAACUACUUUACCAGAAAAUGUAAAGAUUAGCCCUGUUAUGUGUACCUAAAAAAGAUAGGAUAAAAAAGUCUCUUACUGCGACUCUCUCUUUACUCCUCUCUCUAUUUUUCUCUCAAAAAGACUACUUCCAUCUGGGUUUUAAGGGCCACUACUGGUCUUUUUUGGCCGGCAGUAGCCCUUCCUCUUAAUUUUUACUAUUUUUUUUUUAGUUUUUCCCCUAUAUAAUAAUGGCGGUUCUUUCAAAUUCAUGGAUUUUUCAUAG
rnacentral:misc_RNA from 1 species